rnacentral:rRNA from 1 species
UACGUAGGCAGCAAGCGUUGUUCGGAGUUACUGGGCGUAAAGGGUGUGUAGGCGGUUCCCUAAGUUUGGUGUGAAAUCUCCCGGCUCAACUGGGAGGGUGCGCCGAAAACUGGGGGGCUAGAGUACUGGAUGGGAGAGUGGAAUUCCUGGUGUAGCGGUGAAAUGCGUAGAUAUCAGGAGGAACACCUGCGGUGUAGACGGCUUUCUGGACCAUUGCUGACGCUGAGACACGAAAGCGUGGGUAGCAAACAGG